GUAGUACUCCCUCCAUCCGGAAAUACUUGACAUUGAAAUGGAUGUAUGUAGAUGUAUUUUAGUUCUAGAUACAUCCAUUUUCAUUAAUUUGGUUGAUAAAUAUUUCCGGACGGAGGGAGUACCAU
rfam:Triticum aestivum genome assembly, contig: Triticum_aestivum_CS42_TGACv1_scaffold_434283_5DL